UGUUCACAGCCGCUGUUGAAAGUUGCAAUGGUAGCGUGAUUUUUGUAUUGUUGUCGCAAGGGGCAGUCGCCACUGCAACUUCCGAACGGCAAAAAUUUGAUGACUCAUUCACCACAGCAGAUCUAAACACCGGUCUGGAUUUCCUAUGCCUCGAGAAAAUUGGAAUCUUCGCAUUUCCGUGCCUUUCUUCUUUUUCCCCCUUUCAUUUUUGUUUAUACGGACGGAUUCAAAGGACCCUUUCUCCCCCUCAUCGUUACAACUUGCUUCGACCAUCCUUAUCAUCUCUCUUUCUCUCCACUUAUCCCUCUAUCUUCUUCUUCUUUCCCUUGUUGGUCUUUGUAAUUAGCUUGUUUGAAAACAAAGCACCGCCACCAACAUUAAACUGUGCUUCCACCGCUACCACAGGAAGAUCCCAGUCACCCUUCCAAAAUAUUUGUUUUGGGUUCCCUGUUUACGGCAAAGAUCCGAUUGAUAACAAUCAGUGAGACACAAAAUGCUGCCGUGCAUCGCUUGUUUGAAGUAGCUCAGCGGUGGAUCGCUUCACGAACCAAAAGACGAGGACACCACUGGCACGCCAAGUACUAAGCAAGCUAUUAAAGCUCUCACUGCCCAGAGUUGGCUUUGAAGGCCUCGAGAGCUUACCGACAUUGCAAGCCAUGUUCAGGAUCGUCGGGAAAUCAUCACCACCAGAACUACGCUGAGUCCGAUGCGGCCUCAGUAUCAGAGAAAUUUCACUGCUCGUACCGUCGGACGGGAACUUUUAGCUCGAGCUCAGCGCCGAGAAUAUGGGGAAAGAGAUGGAAAACAGAUUAAAAGGGCUUUCGGGUGGCGAAGGGACCCCGCCAUCAAUGAACGGUCGAAUUGAAUCAGUUAUUUUCACGGAGGAAGAAGAGUCCAAGGAGUGGGUGGCAUAGUUUGAGCCUUGCCGGUGGUUGCCGUUGCCUGCGACGGUUGUGCUGAGAGGGAGGGAGAAUGAUAGCUGUGCUUGCGACGAGCCCUUCGUUCUCUCUCCCUCUCGGCACAGCCGUCGCAGGCGAUGGCAGCCACCGCAAAGGGCUCCCUCCCUCUCCCCUUCGUUCUCUCUCUCUCCCCUUUGUCCCCUUCGUUCCCUUUGUUUUCUCUCUCCCCAUUCUCUCUCGCACCUAUUUCAUCAAUGCCGCCGCGGCAGCGGUGAUGAAACAGGGGCGAGAGGGAAUAGGGGAAGAGAACAAAGGGGAGAAAGAGAGGGAGGGAACCCUUCGUCGGUGGCUGUCGCCCCUGUUUCAUCAUCGCCGACGAUCCCACCAAAUCAGUGCUAGAAAGCAACGUGAGGAUGAUCUUUAAAGUCCCGGACGAUCCGACAUUGGGGAUUAUUCAUUGCAGCUCGAUCGACAAGGAUCCCCAUAAUUGUUUCAGAGGUGGAAGGGAGGUCUGAGAACGGAGAAAGAAGGAGAGAGAGACCAGAGGCGGAGGGGGAGAAACCAGACGCGGAGGGGGAGGUAUGGAGAGAGAGUAGAGGCGGAUGGUGAAAUAGGGGAUGAAAUUUGAGGAAUAGUGGAGGAUAAAUUCGAGAUUUCCUUAUUGUCACGUAAGGGUACCGCAAAUCUAAACAGUAAAUACAGUUUGUCAAUUUUGUGAACGGGAUAGUUUAAGAGAUUUAUCCUUAUUAAUAAUGCAUCAAUUAAUUUUCUUGCUUAACGAAUUAA